rnacentral:siRNA from 1 species
GUAUAUUGAUUUGUUCAGGUC